rnacentral:lncRNA from 1 species
UACAUAUAAAACCUGUAAACAAUUUCUCUCUAUAUUUACGAGUUCAAGUGCCAGUGAAACGAACGAUAAAAAAAAGAAGCAUUCAAAAUGUUCGCAAAAUUUUUGGUUUGGAUACAAAAAACCAAGUGAAAAUGGAAAGACUGUUUACCGUUUGACUCUUGUCCCAAUCUAACCUAGUGGGUUCAAAAAGAAGGAACCCCGCUGUAAACAUGAAUGGAUUAAAAGGAUCAGCCCUUUUUGAAUUAAUAGUCGAAGUGGUAACCAGCUAGAAGUCGUAACCUGCUCGUAUGAAAGGAUUUCUCGACGUGAAAUUGUUAAUUUUAUUUAACAACGCCAAGAAACAGAGCUCGCUCAAGAAACAGAAAAGAAAGA